AAGCAACUGAGGCCCAAUCACAAGAACCACAAACAAAGAGCCAAGGUACAAACAGAAUCCUAACAAGAAUCAGAAUUUUCAUGCAUAUUUAUAUGUUCAUUCAUUGAAACCUACACAUAUACAUAUCCACUUAUAAUUAGAUUAUGGAUAUCUAUACAGAAUUACUGUUUUAUUAUAUAACUUCUCGUAAAAUCCAAUCCUGAGCACAGAAGCUCUCACUUGGAUGAGGAAUCAUAGCAAAGAUCAACAACAUACUGAAGCUCCAAAACCAAUGUACCAAGCAUCUGCAUUGUUUUCUUUGCAGAGGUCUUAGUUGUCCACCAACAGCAAAGCUCUUUGGCAUUUCAUCGGGAUUUGAGAAUCAACCAAUCUAGAGGUGGUUAAGGACUCCAAGAGAUACUACACACUUGAAAACUCGAACCCUCCAGGAGCCUAUAUCAUGAAAGCUCAAUCUGUAAAGAAGGAUUGCCCAUAUCAGCUUUCGGCACAGAAAUGCAGGUCUAGAACUGCAAGCCCCACAUUAAAUACCGCCAAACUGCAAACAAAAGAAACACCAAAAUGCUAUUUAUAGCCCAGCUUGGAGGCAAGAAGGGAAGACCCACUCUCCAGGCCUAGGGGAGGUUGUUCCUUGCCUGAAUAGCUCAGAGGAAAGCCGAACGUCAGCAGUAAGAGGGUUCUUGAAGCCCAAAAAUUAGAGAAGGACGAGAGAAAAAUUCUCUCUAGAAAU
rnacentral:misc_RNA from 1 species